ensembl:lncRNA
GGUCUAUUUAUUAUUUUAUUCAUGUCUCGUGUAUUCUCAGGUUCAGUGUGAUGGCUCUCUGGCGCCCCUCAUGGACGUGUGGGGUAAAUCCACUGUUGAUGUCCUGCUGGAUAUUUGUCCAAACAGUCCUCUGUUUGCAGAACUGUCACAGGAGCAGAGAGAGAGCAGCCUGCAGGACCACUGGAGCCAGGGGCCCUCAGGUGUGAACUCAGAGCAUGACCUCAUCUCACAGAAGGUGGAGCUGUGUGAAGCGCUGAGGAGCUGCAUAGAGAGUUUAGAGCAGGAGAAGGAGGAGCUGAGUGAUGCAAUCAGGGCCCACAUGGAGCUGGGGAGGCAAGUAGAGGCCUGGGUACAAGAGCACUGUGAGGCAGCACACAGG